rnacentral:rRNA from 1 species
GAUGAACGCUAGCUACAGGCUUAACACAUGCAAGUCGAGGGGCAGCAUAAAAUCAGCUUGCUGAUUUGAUGGCGACCGGCGCACGGGUGAGUAACACGUAUCCAACCUGGCCUUUACUCAGGGAUAGCCUUUCGAAAGAAAGAUUAAUACCUGAUGGCAUAAAUUGACCGCAUGGUUGAUUUAUUAAAGAUUUAUUGGUAAAGGAUGGGGAUGCGUUCCAUUAGCUUGUUGGUAAGGUAACGGCUUACCAAGGCAUCGAUGGAUAGGGGUUCUGAGAGGAAGGUCCCUCACACUGGAACUGAGACACGGCCCAGACUCCUACGGGAGGCAGCAGUGGGGAAUAUUGCACAAUGGGGGAAACCCUGAUGCAGCGACGCCGCGUGAGUGAAGACGGUCUUCGGAUUGUAAAGCUCUGUUGUAGGGGACGAUAAUGACGGUACCCUACUAGAAAGCCACGGCUAACUACGUGCCAGCCGCCGCAGUAAAAC